GCAAGAGUAUACUGGUGAUCACUGUUUCCCUUAAAAUAUACUUCAAGAAAUGCAGAGGAAACUAGAGAAUUUAAAAAUGAAAAUAAAAAGUGCUCUCAGGGGAUCUGAGAAAACAGCACCCACACUGAUCCACCAGUAAAGAUUGACUCUAUCCUAUCUCCGUCAUCUUGUUGUCCGGGGAAUUGGGCAGGCCCAGCUGACGU
rnacentral:lncRNA from 1 species